rnacentral:rRNA from 1 species
UUGACCUCGGAUCAGGUAGGAUUACCCGCUGAA